AGAAGUACCGCAAGGCACCAUCAUUAAAGUCACCAUCUGGCAUAACUGGAAAUGUCAGCAAAUAGGGAGUGUAAAUUGAUGGGCAUACUACUGUUUAUGCCUUUUAACUGGCCAUUUUUGUCCUCCACUGUCUUGGCAGCAAUAUGAUAUUAACGCAUAGAAGAUACUUUUCCCAUCAACUAUAGAUGGCUGUUCUUCUCCGUUUUCCUGCUAUUUUUUACUUUAAGAGGACUGGGAUUACUAUGAUCCACUUGAAGAUGAAAACAGUAACAAGUAAAAAGAAGAGCUAUGCUGGUUUCUCUCUAUUUUCCAGCCUCUACUCCCACCACCACCACUGUUACAAGAAAGAUCCUUUGUUCUGUUCUGUUCUUUGCCCCAGGAAGCUGAUCCCUGUGGAUUACACACCUGAGCAUCCUCCUACUAGCUUCUGGUUAAAUUCAGCCAGUGAAGAUCAAGAGUGAUCAGAGGACUGAAAGAAAGAGACUGAGGUUUUUCUUCUCCCCUCCUUUUCUGCUCUGGGUCAUAUUUUCUGGAACAUGCUGCAUUCCCCCAGGAUUAUAGCACCUUUUAGGUUGUUCCAUGUCUCACUGGGCUCUGGUAGAGAAAUUUUCUCCUCUUGCCCUUUAGGCUUAGGAGUGGCAAGGGCUUCCUGUGGUUUCUAGGCUCUUCAGUGCCUCAACAUCCUUUACUGGCUCCUCUAAAUUCUCUCACCCCUUUGAAAGCAGUCUAUCAAAUUCUUAAACCAUGUGAGGUUCCUAUGAGGACCCUGAUACAAGAGCUGAUUUUAGAGGGAUAAAAAUUGUUAUUUUCUUGUCCUUUAUAGUCCAACAAUAGAGUUGUAGGAAACCUUGUGUUACAUAAUUUGUUUAUAUUCAUGUUCACAGUUUUAUGUACUAAAAUUAUUCAAAAGUAAAAUAUGUAUUAACAGAGA